CAAAACAUCUUUUCUCGUUAGUUUUUGAAGUAUGGCCUGCCCGCUGACUUUGAUGUUGAAGGGCCGCGGUAUUUUGACCGUGCAAAGGUAGCAUAGUCAUUAGUUCUUUAAUUGUGAUCUGGUAUGAAUGGCUUGACGAGGCAUGGGCUGUCUUAAUUUUGAAUUGUUUAUUGAAUUUGGUUUUUGAGUUAAAAUUCUUAGAUGUUUUUAUGGGACGAGAAGACCCUAUAGAGUUUAACAUUUAUUACGGUUCUUUUCUGUUUGUGAGGGUUCGCUGGGCCGUUUAGUAUGUUUCGUUGGGGUGAUGGGAGGGAUUUAUUUAACCCCUCCUUUAUGUUGUUAUAUUUAUUUAUAUUUAUUUGAUCCAUUUAUUUUGAUUGUAAGAUUAAGUUACCUUAGGGAUAACAGCGUUAUCCCCCUUGAGAGUUCUUAUCGGCAGGGGGGUUUGCGACCUCGAUGUUGGAUUAAGAUUUAUUUUCGGUGUAGGGGCUGGAAGUUAUUAGGUCUGUUCGACCUUUAAAAUCUUACGUGAUCUGA
rnacentral:rRNA from 1 species